AGUGAACGCUGGCGGUAGGCCUAACACAUGCAAGUCGAACGGCAGCACAGUAAGAGCUUGCUCUGACGGGUGGCGAGUGGCGGACGGGUGAGGAAUACAUCGGAAUCUACUUUUUCGUGGGGGAUAACGUAGGGAAACUUACGCUAAUACCGCAUACGACCUACGGGUGAAAGCAGGGGAUCUUCGGACCUUGCGCGAUUGAAUGAGCCGAUGUCGGAUUAGCUAGUUGGCGGGGUAAAGGCCCACCAAGGCGACGAUCCGUAGCUGGUCUGAGAGGAUGUACAGCCACACUGGAACUGAGACACGGUCCAGACUCCUACGGGAGGCAGCAGUGCGGAAUAUUGGACAAUGGGCGCAAGCUUGAUCCAGCCAUACCGCGUGGGUGCAGAAGGCCUUCGGGUUGUAAAGCCCUUUUGUUGGGAAAGAAAAGCAGCAGGUUAAUACCCCGCUGUUCUGACGGUACCCAAAGAAUAAGCACCGGCUAACUUCGUG
rnacentral:rRNA from 1 species